CCCUGAGAAGAGAGGAGAGCCCAGCGGUAUUUCCAGCAGAACCACUUCCUGUUGCAUGUGUUGAGUAAAAGGCUUGUCCCAUUCCAGGGCAGGGAGGGACUCGCUACUCUGAACAAGGUGGUAAGAAGGAGAGGGUAAUUUGACCGGAAACAUUGGGAGGCUCUGUGACCCCACUGGUGUGGUGGCCCUUCCCAAGAACCUCCCACUCUCAUCACUUACCCAGUGCCUGCAUCUCAAAGCAUAGCCUGGGAGCAGGGGGAGCAUAAGAGGGCACAUGAACCCAGCCUCAUCUCCCCAGCAGAGGUCAAGGCCAAGGGAGAUGCUGAGGCUUAAGAUGGUGAGCAGAGCCCCCUGGAUCUCAGAGAUAGAAGUCACAGGGUAGGGCGUGGUGGUGAUUCAGAUUCAAAGAUUGGGCCUGGGUAAAAUUUUUGGUGUAGAUACCAGCUGUCAGAGUUUAACCUGGGUUGUAUUGCAAAACAAACUGUCAAAACCAACAAACUAACAAACAAAAAGUCCCCAAGCUUUGCAAAAGGUGUCCAUGAUUGCAUAAGCCUCAAGGCAAUCAAUCUCCAGGCCUCCGGAGGGAGGUGGGCUACUGCGGCUGCACAGCCUACAGUAAGCGGGUCCUCACCAGUGUCCCUGUCCGGAGUGUCCCUGGGGAUAGUGGGCAAGAGCUGCUUCCAGGAGACGAAAUGUUGGCAUAACCAGAUUGGCUGACUAACAGACUCUCCAUUUUUAGGGAGGUGAGACCAUGAAGAAAUGGUCACAGGAGCUGGACUUUCUCCCCCGACCAUCAGGGUGUGAUACAUGAUUAGCAGGGCCACAUCUGGACCCAAGAAAUGGGGCUGUGCACCACCUCAGGAUCCCGCUCUUAGACCUCGAUGUAGUGACUGGAUAGAUCUUGGACUGCCAUCCUCAGGAAAGCGAGGCUGAAACAUGGAUCUAAUGACGUGUGCCAGUUUUGAACAUGAGAUGCAGACACUCCUCUAGAAGACGGCAGUACAUCAAGACGGAAGGAAGCUAAUCUUGAACACCCCUGCGAGCAGAGCAGAACAGUCCAUGCAUCCUGUACUCCAGCCCACCCCUGGUCCGUUAGACGAGAGAAAAGCAAGCAGCCAUCUUGUGCGAAUCACUGUAU